UGUCAGCAGCCGCGGUAAUACGGAGGAUCCAAGCGUUAUCCGGAAUCAUUGGGUUUAAAGGGUCCGUAGGCGGUCUUGUAAGUCAGUGGUGAAAGCCCAUCGCUCAACGGUGGAACGGCCAUUGAUACUGCAGGACUUGAAUUAUUGGGAAGUAACUAGAAUAUGUAGUGUAGCGGUGAAAUGCUUAGAGAUUACAUGGAAUACCAAUUGCGAAGGCAGGUUACUACCAAUUUAUUGACGCUGAUGGACGAAAGCGUGGGUAGCGAACAGGAUUAGAUACCCUGGUAGUCCACGCCGUAAACGAUGGAUACUAGCUGUUGGGCGCAAGUUCAGUGGCUAAGCGAAAGUGAUAAGUAUCCCACCUGGGGAGUACGAACGCAAGUUUGAAACUCAAAGAAAUUGGCGG
rnacentral:rRNA from 1 species